AACGGCUUCCGAGCUUGCAGCCAAGGCGCGCGCUAUAGGAAGGGUUUGUCGCGGCGGCGCUAGGGAGGCAGCUCCCUCGGGGGGCCUAGGAGCGCCGAAACGUCGUCAGGGAUGUCUCCUAGGGAGAAGGAACCAGGCAGACGGCUAAAGAGGGCGGCGAGCGGCUGGAGACCACCUCGCAAGAGGACGCCGCAGCCACGUGUGAAGAGCGCGGGCCGCUGUAGCGGAUCCGUGUGCAGUAACCGGGCCGGUUUGCUUCGUCGGAGCGCUCGCUUCGCCGCCUUCUCGCCCGCCACUCGCGCCCACUUCCAAGCACACGGAGAGCGGGGUGAAUGGCGCCCCUUUUUACCUCGCUCAGAGGAGUCAUGGAAACGGGCGGAGGUCGGAGAGAGACUCCAAAGCACUGGGCUCUANACUUAAGAGCGAGCCGAAGUUACAGACGCUCCCACGUUCCCUUAGAGAAAGAAAGAGGAAACUUUAAGGCUGCGGUCGUCUGUUCGCUUCACNGAGAGUCAGUCCCAGCCAGUGCAGAGACGGCUCCCUUUACCUUGACCAAACACAUGCAGACAUGCAGUGAUGCUCUUCAGACAUGCUUCUUCCAAAGUCAAAUCUCUUUGUUUAGUGGGGCCGUGGUCCACAAGAGUGGGCAUAGGAUAAAGCAGCCUGAGGAUGCUUUAACCUUGACGGACCCUGUCCGCAAGGCGUGUGUUAGAACACGGAGUUUCAUCCCUGUGCUGUGGGCACACGCUCACACACACGCUCAGACAGAUAGACAGGGCUCUUCAAGACAGGGCUCUCCUAGUUCACAGAUGUUCGUCGGGAAGACCAUAAGGACCGCUCAUCUAAAACAAACAUAAAUAAUCUCAUAGGUGCCUGAAGUUGCUGGAUCCAGCCUCAGGGAAUGGGCUUUUCAAUGCAACUCGCCCCCUCCCCAUUCGUAAAGGAGAGGUCGUGUGAACACAUCACCAUGCCUUGGGCUGAGGAAAAGAAACCCACCAUUAUUUCCCAAGGACAAUGAACACAGAACACGGUUAUCGUCAGACUCUUCUUCAGUAAGGCCUCUGGACAGCAGAGUCGACCACUUCCUUUUAGUUUCUGCUCAGGGAACUACCCUGGCAGUNCUGCGAGGAAGCUUCCGAGCAUUUAAUGGGAUUUAUAUCCAAGCCAGCAUAAGACCCGCUUCUUCCGAACCUGAACAAUUUCCAGGUUCCUCUGAGGUCCCUAUGUUUGUUUGUUUCUGUGAUAUAUAUAUAUAUACAUAUACAUAUAGAGGGGUGUGUGUGUGUGUGUGUGUAUAAUCCAGGUAAAGUAGUGUUACAGACACAGGGGUAAAAAUAAGGCACAGUUUUCUUGCAAAGUUUUCUGUUUAAAGGACAACGCUUUCACACUCUGACUGAGAAGGAAGGAAAGACAGAAGCGC
rnacentral:lncRNA from 1 species